GUCUAUGGUCAUGCCGCCCUGAACAAGCCCGAUAUCGUCUGAUCUUGGAAGCUAAGCGGGGGCCGAGCCUGGUUAUACAUGGAUGGGAGACCACCUAGGAAUAUCGGGUGCUGUAGGUG
rnacentral:rRNA from 1 species